rnacentral:rRNA from 1 species
GAUGAACGCUGGCGGCGUGCCUAAUACAUGCAAGUCGAGCGAACGGACGAUAAGCUUGCUUCUCUGACGUUAGCGGCGGACGGGUGAGUAACACGUGGAUAACCUACCUAUAAGACUGGGAUAACUACGGGAAACCGGAGCUAAUACCGGAGGAUAUUUUGCACCGCAGGGUGCAAAGGAGAAAGACGGUCUUGCUGUCACUUAUAGAUGGAUCCGCGCUGCAUUAGCUAGUUGGUACGGUAACGGCGUACCAAGGCAACGAUGCAUAGACGACCUGAGAGGGUGAUCGGCCACACUGGAACGGAGACACGGUCCAGACUCCUACGGGAGGCAGCAGUAGGGAAUCUUCCGCAAUGGGCGAAAGCCUGGCGGAGCAACGCCGCGUGAGUGAUGAAGGUCUUCGGAGCGUAAAACUCUGUUAUGAGGUAAGAACAGAUGUGUAAGUAGCUGUGCACAUCUUGACGGUACUUAAUCAGAAAGCAACGGCUAACUACGUG